UACAGAGGGGGCAAGCGUUGUUCGGAAUUACUGGGCGUAAAGGGCGCGUAGGCGGCCUGUUAAGUCGAACGUGAAAUCCCCGGGCUCAACCCGGGAACUGCGUCCGAUACUGGCAGGCUUGAAUCCGGGAGAGGGAUGCGGAAUUCCAGGUGUAGCGGUGAAAUGCGUAGAUAUCAGGAGGAACACCAGUGGCGAAGGCGGCUUUCUGGACGGUAACUGACGCUGAGACGCGAAAGCGUGGGGAGCAAACAGG
rnacentral:rRNA from 1 species